rnacentral:rRNA from 1 species
CCUACGGGAGGCAGCAGUGGGGAAUAUUGCACAAUGGGCGAAAGCCUGAUGCAGCGACGCCGCGUGAGGGAUGACGGCCUUCGGGUUGUAAACCUCUUUCAGCAGGGAAGAAGCGAAAGUGACGGUACCUGCAGAAGAAGCGCCGGCUAACUACGUGCCAGCAGCCGCGGUAAUACGUAGGGCGCAAGCGUUGUCCGGAAUUAUUGGGCGUAAAGAGCUCGUAGGCGGCUUGUCACGUCGGAUGUGAAAGCCCGAGGCUUAACCUCGGGUCUGCAUUCGAUACGGGCUAGCUAGAGUGUGGUAGGGGAGAUCGGAAUUCCUGGUGUAGCGGUGAAAUGCGCAGAUAUCAGGAGGAACACCGGUGGCGAAGGCGGACCUCUGGGCCAUUACUGACGCUGAGGAGCGAAAGCGUGGGGAGCGAACAGGAUUAGAUACCCUGGUAGUCCACGCCGUAAACGUUGGGAACUAGGUGUUGGCGACAUUCCACGUCGUCGGUGCCGCAGCUAACGCAUUAAGUUCCCCGCCUGGGGAGUCGGCCGCAAGGCUAAAACGUCAAAUGAAUUGACGG